AAAACAUAGCCCUAAGUAAUGAUGUAGGGUGAUACCUGCUCAAUGAGUAAAUUUUCUUUAACAGCCGCGGUACCUUGACCGUGCUAAGGUAGCAUAAUAAGUUGACUUUUAAAUGAAGUCUGGAAUGAAUGGGAUAACGGGGUAAAGCUGUCUCAAUUUUUUUAUUGUUAAUUUACUAACAGGGUGAAAAGGCCCUGGAAUGAUAAAAGACGAGAAGACCCUUAGAGUUUUUUAAAGAAUUUUGUUGGGGCGACAAGGAAUGAUAAUAACAUUCCCGUUAUUAUGGGACGGAUUUUUCAUGAACAGACAAACUACCUGAGGGAUAACAGCAUUAUCUUUUUAGGUUUGUGACCUCGAUGUUGGACUAGGAAGCCUAUAGGCUAGCCGCUUAUAAGGGGGGUUCUGUUCGAACCUUUUCUCCUACGUGAUCUGAG
rnacentral:rRNA from 1 species